UACGUAGGGUGCGAGCGUUAAUCGGAAUUACUGGGCGUAAAGCGUGCGCAGGCGGUUUUGUAAGCCAGAUGUGAAAUCCCCGGGCUCAACCUGGGAAUGGCAUUUGGGACUGCAGGGCUGGAGUGCGGCAGAGGAGACUGGAAUUCCUGGUGUAGCAGUGAAAUGCGUAGAUAUCAGGAGGAAUACCGAUGGCGAAGGCAGGUCUCUGGGCUGACACUGACGCUCAUGCACGAAAGCGUGGGGAGCAAACAGG
rnacentral:rRNA from 1 species